UAUAUAGAUGUAAAUAAACUCUUAGCGAUUUUUAAAUUGACACUUUGGUCUGGUGGCGUUUGUAUGCUCACAUACCUUUUAUUAGGUAUGCACCUCAUCUUUGGAAUCGAAAGGUUAUGCUGCAGACAUUCAACUUGUUUAUAAUGACACCGUUGAGAUAUAUAUAUUUCGUUUUUUAAAUUCAGUUAUUUUGAAAUACAUUUCGAGGAUAUAUUUUUGAACUAUUUUAAGAUUUACAUGUAAGAAAAUUAUUUAACAGUAUAUCAGGAUAGAUGUUUAGAUUUUUUCGACUCUUUAAAAACAACCUGUAUAGUUCCAGACAUUUUAAACGUCUGCUAUACAGGAGUUCAAAUCAGACCAAAUGUUUGCCAAAGUAAAUGAUGAUACAAUAUGUUUUCCAGUGUUACCCAUUUGUUCUGUUGAUUCUUUUCAUGUACUUUCUGUUGCCAAGGUUAACUGUGCCACAAGUCACACAACUCUGACGUCAGUGUUUUUUUUUUGUUUUUUUUCCUCCGAAUGCUGAGCGCGGCGAGAUGGCGUCACACUUCCGUGACCAAAUGGAGACUUCGAGCAAGCCGGUUUGGACUAGCGUUGAAACGUUCCCAGAGGCGGCCUCAAAACGCAUUCAAAGUUCACAGUUGAGCCGGCCGGGCGCGGUUUCAGAGGAUCCAGCGGACACGCCCACCGAAGAAGAGCACUUGAUUUGUCAUUUUUGGACUGGAAUGGCUUGGAAGCCAAACCGGCGUGACAGAAGAUCAUAUCCUGUUCCACUCUGAAGAGUCAAACAUUCCCCUCAUCUUUGUGCGAUUGGCGUACACAAUUUGAUGAUCUCAAUAAUUGACAGCGAUCAGCGUCAAGGGGCGGGGCGUGCCGCCGCCUUGCGUCACCCGGCCACAUUCAGGGAAUCUUUAUCUUUGUGCUCUGAGAAAGUAGGUCACGUCAUUGCCACGUCAGUUCCAAGUUUCAUUG